AUGCUCACUUUGGCAGCACAUAUACUAAAAUUGGAACAAUACAGAGAUUAGCAUGGCCUCUGUGCAAGGAUGACACCCAGUUUUCCAGAAGCUUGGCAGUCACAC